UACAGAGGUCUCAAGCGUUGUUCGGAUUCAUUGGGCGUAAAGAGCGUGUAGGCGGCCAUACAGGUCCGUUGUGAAAACUGGAGGCUUAACCUCCAGACGUCGAUGGAAACCGUAUGGCUAGAGUCCGGAAGAGGAGAGUGGAAUUCCUGGUGUAGCGGUGAAAUGCGCAGAUAUCAGGAAGAACACCCGUGGCGAAGGCAGGUCUCUGGGCUGACACUGACGCUCAUGCACGAAAGCGUGGGGAGCAAACAGG
rnacentral:rRNA from 1 species